AUUGAACGCUGGCGGAAUGCUUUACACAUGCAAGUCGAACGGCAGCACGGGGGCAACCCUGGUGGCGAGUGGCGAACGGGUGAGUAAUACAUCGGAACGUGCCCGGUCGUGGGGGAUAACGUAGCGAAAGUUACGCUAAUACCGCAUACGAUCUGAGGAUGAAAGCGGGGGACCUUCGGUCCUCGCGCGAUCGGAGCGGCCGAUGGCAGAUUAGGUAGUUGGUGGGGUAAAGGCCGACCAAGCCGACGAUCUGUAGCUGGUCUGAGUGGACGACCAGCCACACUGGGACGGAGACACGGCCCAGACUCCUACGGGAGGCAGCAGUGGGGAAUUUUGGACAAUGGGCGCAAGCCUGAUCCAGCCAUUCCGCGUGCAGGACGAAGGCCUUCGGGUUGUAAACUGCUUUUGUAUGGAACGAAAAGGCUCUGGCUAAUACCUGGGGCUCAUGACGGUACCGUAAGAAUAAGCACCGGCUAACUACGUG
rnacentral:rRNA from 1 species